UCCAAAGUUCGGCCCGGCCGAACUUAACACCUUUUUACUUCUUUUUAAUAGAUGUAAACAUUUUAUAACUCAUAUAUGUUAUGAAAGCUUUUUAUAAAUGUUAUGACAACUUUUCAUAAACUAUGUGUUUGAUUUCCAUAAAUAUUUUUCAUAAAUGUUAUGACAAAAUCAUCAAUAAAAUGAACAUUUUUCUUUCUGUCUACUAUACUAGUUACGGACAAUGUCAAGUGCCAUAUAAUGAUUCAAAAUUGAUAUGUGAGAAGUUUUCCCCUGUUCCUUAGUGGAAUGUUGCAUUUGCAGAUAUAAGGGCGCAAAUAAGAGUGAUAUCUUAACCUUAGUUAUACCUAUUAGCUAGCUGAGUAUGUGAUUCAGCAACAUAGAAGGAGUCAUAUUGAGAAAUUUUGCAUCAUGAGUAUUUUGAACUGGUUUUUUUUUUGUCGAAUAAACGAUGUAAUAAAAUUCAAAUCGAUUGUUCGGUUAAUACAUGACUUAUGUACAUCUUAAUUUUUUCGGUAUCUGUGUAAAAUUGUAACCGCAUGGCAUUUUGCAAACGGGGUGACGAGAUUAGUAUACCUCUCAUACUGUGAUGGUGGUUGGUAUUUACAAAUAAAAUCGCCUGUCGAUUGACGAUAACAUUGUGUGUAUUCUUGGGCGACGUAUUUUUUUCUUGCCAAUUCAAUAAGAGAAUAACUACCGGCAUAUGUAUUAGCAAAGAGAGGGAGAGUGGAAAAAAAUAGACAACAAAUAUUUAAACAUUCGCACUAUGACGUUUUUCUGAUAAAACUACACACAAAGAUCAAUCAG